UGCUCCGCCCUUGCGGGUGUCGAGCGGUGCGGGCGCGGUCCGUGCGUGACCCACUUAUCAAACCACUUGUGCACCUGUCCGGGGGUGAAACCCCGUAUACACAAACAACUGAAAUGAAACGAACCUUUUGGGGCGAUAUGCCUCUUAAACAUGUAACAACUUUCAACAACGGAUCUCUUGGCUCUCGCAUCGAUGAAGAACGCAGCGAAAUGCGAUAAGUAGUGUGAAUUGCAGAAUUCAGUGAAUCAUCGAAUCUUUGAACGCACCUUGCGCCCUUUGGCUAUUCCGAAGGGCAUGCCUGUUUGAGUAUCAUGAACACCUCAACUCUCAUGGUUUUCCCAUGACGAGCUUGGACUUUGGGGGUCUUGCUGGCCUAUGGUCGGCUCCUCUUAAAUGAAUCAGCUUGCCAGUGUUUGGUGGCAUCCCAGGUGUGAUAACUAUCUACGCUUGUGGUUUUCCGUCAAGUAACCCCCAGCGAUGGAGGUUCACUGGGGCUCAUAAAGGCCUCUCCUCGGUGAGGAAUGGCUCCUUUUGAAUGUUUGAUCUCAAAUCAGGUAGGACUACCCGCUGAACUUAAGCAUAUCAAUAAGCGGAGGAAAAGAAACUAACAAGGAUUCCCCUAGUAACUGCGAGUGAAGCGGGAAGAGCUCAAAUUUAAAAUCUGGCGUGCCUCUGGUCGUCCGAGU
rnacentral:rRNA from 1 species